CCUACGGGUGGCAGCAGUGAGGAAUAUUGGUCAAUGGACGAGAGUCUGAACCAGCCAAGUAGCGUGAAGGAUGACUGCCCUAUGGGUUGUAAACUUCUUUUAUAUGGGAAUAAAAUGUUCCACGUGUGGCAUUUUGUAUGUACCAUAUGAAUAAGGAUCGGCUAACUCCGUGCCAGCAGCCGCGGUAAUACGGAGGAUCCGAGCGUUAUCCGGAUUUAUUGGGUUUAAAGGGAGCGUAGGUGGAUUGUUAAGUCAGUUGUGAAAGUUUGCGGCUCAACCGUAAAAUUGCAGUUGAAACUGGCAGUCUUGAGUACAGUAGAGGUAGGCGGAAUUCGUGGUGUAGCGGUGAAAUGCUUAGAUAUCGCGAAGAACUCCGAUUCCGAAGGCAGCUCACUGGACUGCAACUGACACUGAGGCUCGAAAGUGUGGGUAUCAAACAGGAUUAGAUACCCCUGUAGUC
rnacentral:rRNA from 1 species